rnacentral:rRNA from 1 species
UACGAAGGGGGCUAGCGUUGCUCGGAAUCACUGGGCGUAAAGCGCACGUAGGCGGAUUGUUAAGUCAGGGGUGAAAUCCUGGAGCUCAACUCCAGAACUGCCUUUGAUACUGGCGAUCUUGAGUCCGGAAGAGGAGAGUGGAAUUCCUGGUGUAGCGGUGAAAUGCGCAGAUAUCAGAAAGAACACCCGUGGCUAAGGCGGCUCUCUAGUACGGUACUGACGCUGAGACGCGAAAAGCGUGGGGAGCGAACAGG